rnacentral:rRNA from 1 species
UACGUAGGUGGCAAGCGUUGUCCGGAUUUACUGGGCGUAAAGAGCGCGCAGGCGGUCGGAUCAGUCGAAUGUGAAAGCCCCCGGCUCAACUGGGGAGGGUCAUUCGAUACUGUCCGAGUCGAAGGCAGGAGAGGGAAGCGGAAUUCCCGGUGUAGUGGUGAAAUGCGUAGAUAUCGGGAGGAACACCAGUGGCGAAGGCGGCUUUCUGGCCUGUUCUUGACGCUGAGGCGCGAAAGCUAGGGGAGCGAACGGG